GAGACCCGGUCGCCAGUCCCUGCCCCAACCGGUCCUCCUAGGGGUGGUGGAGAUGUGGGCCGCAGAGCUGCUUGGCCUGGCUGUGCGGAUUCCCUAAACGCCGCACUUGAGCACGGCCCCUUACGUAACUGUCAGCGCCGGGGAUUCCCUAGAGGGGGUCAUUCUAUUCAACCAUUACACACACCCCGGGCUUCUGCAGCCGCUCCGCCGCCGCCUCACAAAAUGGCGGCGCCCAUAGAGGAGACAGCGGCCGCCUCCUCGGCCCCAUUUUGUGGGAGGCGAGAGAUCUGUCAACAUGGAAAACCGCUGAGGAUGCAUCUGAGUUUGAAAAGCCUGUUUAAGGGAUGCAGUCGAAGGGAUCUCAUUCAACGGAAAAUGUCAGCGACUUCCAGCACCAUCUCCCCGCUCUUUUUUUCCAUUUUCUUGAAGGUAACGCCAGAAGCCUCCAGGGUAAUUGUGACUGAGAGAAGAAGGGAAGGCUGCGGCUGACUUCUCCCGGGACAUGCCGCGGCGUCUUUGGUGGCUUUGGUUGCUCUUCUACGCUGCCUGGAGCUGAGCGCGAUGCCGCGGAGGCUCGCCUGGGCCGCAGCGACCCUUUCCGAGGGGAGAAGACCGGGCGACACGGGGCGCAACCGGCGUUCUCUACCGGGCCACUUGUGCAGCGAGACUUUUAGAUGUGACGAUUUCCCCCAGGAAGUAUUGGAAGAUAUGGAGCCAGGCCACAUGUCUGUGACCAUGAAUGCACAUGACCUCAACAAAUGAAAAAGGUGUCUUUAAAAGAGCCUGGGGAAAGAGAGUUGAAGAUGUAGAAUAGAUAUAAAUAAAUAAUGAAACAGGAUCCUGACAAGACAGAAGAGGUGACAUUUUGUGGAACAAUGUGUCUUGAGCAGGAAGGAGAAGUAUGUCUCUUUCAUCAACUAGAACUAUGUGGACACAGGUGCAUCUGGAGGAGAGAGAAGACUGGAAUUGUUGGAUGAUGUCACUGAAGCCAAGUCAACUUUUAAGACUUGAUAAGGGAAUGAGGGCGGGAUUGAGGUGCAGGAACCUGAAAAUUCCCUUUAAAAGCGGAGAAACCUGGAAAUCAUGGGAAAUGGCAGCACUGCCAUUUGGGGCCCUAUGCUUUGACAAUAUUUCCCUUUAGUAACAGAGACACCCACACUGAGCUGCACCAGAUGGUGUCUGACCAGCACAGCGCAAAGUGAGAAUGCUGUCUCCCUGCAAUGGUCAGUUCCCUUGUUUCAGAUCUUAUGCUUUUCAUAAUAUAUCCUCUGACUAGAUAAGCUAUUUUUUUUUAACAGCUCUUUCAUAGUAAAAGACCAAGAGAAAGCAUUUCUCCAAAAAUCAGGGUCAGAGGAAAAUUUGAGUAAUGAUUAUUGUUCAAAAGAAUGAACUACUUAUAAAAGUUGAGAAUUAAUUCAGAAAUUGUUAUUCAAAUUGGAUUGGGAAACUAAGCAUUUUCAGCAUAGUGACAAACACAAGCAAGAACUAGCUGAAGACAUGAAGGCCUGGUAAAUGUUUUAAAUGUCCUUUGAAUUUUAAAUGCAGAUUUCAUAGACAUCUAGUAAGUAUCCUAUAUGGAUAUGCUAUUAUUUCCAACUCUCAGUGACUUAGUUAGAAACCAAGUUCAACAAUAGAUAGAUUUUGUUUUCCAGAACCUUGUUUUAAAAUGUUUUAUUUAUUCACCAUUUCCUAUUAUCCUGCACCUGGCCACUUGACACUCAGGUUAAUUUCCUCACCACUAAACCUAUUUGAGUUUGUUAUCCUGCUCCACUCUGCUCUAAAAUUUACCAUUCAAAUAGAUCAGCCAAAAGUUAUGCCAAUCAUUGUAUCAACCUCAUAUAGAAUUGCUUUGUACUGAAUUGCUGUUUUGUGUGCAAUCAUCAGCUCA